CAACUUCUCUUCUUUCGGGAGCAGGCUACUUUGAAGGACCCAACUAGUCUUUCAGUGCUGGAUACCCAACCUAAAGGUGGAAGAACGUCACAGCCAACUCAUGACGCAGUGGAAGCAAGAGCAAGUACUCCAGUGAGCAGUAUAUGUGGAGAGCCAUCGUUAUCAUCUCUAACAGACACUUUACUGUCUGAUGAGGAGGAAGUCUCUCAGCCACCUUCCACAGUUAUCAAUGACGAGACCUCUGGUGACCUUUGGAAUGAUUUGCAGAAUUACAAACUGCCUCUUUUUCCGCCAUGCGUAAAGACCCUCUUACAAACAAGAAAAAGUCCACAAGAUUACCUGCCUGGAACUUCAAACAGAAGAAGAAUCAUUGAGGUCCUUACAUGUGACCUACAAAAGAGGAAUAUCCUAAAUGUUGGAGGAUGUCCCUUCGUACCAAGAUGAAAAACAUUCGAGUGCCACUAACAUCACACAACACUGUGAAAAUUCUUAAAGAAAAAUUUGGCUGUCCAGUAACAGGAGGUCGGAAAAGUACGGCAUUGUCAGAAAAGGAAGAAGUUCAACCACGCAAGAAAAGGCAAAAGCU